CGCUGGGGGUUCCGCGGAGGCGCGCCGGCCGGCUUUCAACGCGGGCGGCGGCCGAGCACGGACUCGGGGCCUGCUGCCGGGCGCCAAGAGCGCCCGAUGGCUUCUCUGUCCUCACAGCUUCCCCACACGGCCCCGCAGUCCGCCCUGCUUCCUUCCUGGCUUGUGACUAGAACGCAGCCGCAGGCGGAAGCGCGGUGACGCCAUCAGGAGGCGCCGGAGCGGCGGCGCGCGGGGCUAGGGGGCGAGGGGCGAGGGCCGGCGGGCUACGGGCUGGCGGAGGCCAGGUGGGCGAGGGAGGAGAGCGCAGGCUGUCGGCGAGCUCAUAGGUCACAUUUGGAUCGAAUGAAGAGAGCUGCACAUUAUUUGAAGACAGAUUUUCUCCCUUGAAAUAAAUGGUCUAUGUAUGGAAAAAGAGUGCUGGCCCAUAAAAACAUCUCGUGAACAAUUUUCCUUGAUCUCUGUACUCCCCACCAACUUGAAGCAAAUGAACACAUUUUUUGGAAGCAAUGUGUUGAAGACGGUGAAGCUGUAACAUAGGAGAUUGAUAUCUUGAAUCUUCACUUGAAGAAUAGCUGCUUGCCAAUUAGAAACUUUGUGUUACACA